AGGCCCGUCGUAUAGCGGUCAAGUAUACGGGACUCUGACUCCUGUGACGGCGGUUCGAAUCCGCCCGGGCCUA
rnacentral:tRNA from 1 species